AACGUCGCAUUCACUCGGAUUUGGAUCCUGUUUCCAAAAUGAGGAUCUUUCAAGUAGUUCUGACGCUUUCCGCAUUUACUUUGGUCUCUGCAGCAUGGGAAGGAGAGACCAGAGUGGAAGAACUUUGCCGGGAGCGAAACGAAGCGGGAAAAGAUGCAUUCAAAGCUAUGGUAAUUGCUCUGUACAGUCAGAGGUUUGCCAAUGGUACAUUUGAAGAAAUCAGUGCCACUUCUGACCACAUUCUUAAAAUAUUGGAAAAGUGUUGUUCCCCUGAUGCUAAUCCAGGUUGUUAUGAGA